ACCAAGGCUGUGAAGAAACAAAGUAGAUCAGUGUGGAAUCUUUUAGAGAACGUCCGGUUGGUGCAAGGGCGCAAGAUCUGUCUGAGUCGAAUACCUUUUGGAGCCGCUGACCGAAAGCCCUGCAAGUAGGAUCAGACGGGUGCGCCCGAUAUUGCGCUAAUGUGUGUUGGCACAUGAAGAGGCAUUGGCUGUGAAGUCAGUGCGAAUUUGAGGUGGUACCGCGAAUGCUCGCCCUCUGU
rnacentral:ncRNA from 1 species